rnacentral:snRNA from 1 species
GGAUGUGAGGGUGAUCUGGCUGUAACAUGUGUCACCCCAUUGAUAGCCAGGGUUGAUUUGGCUGAUCUGGCUGGCAAGGCAGGUGUCCCCUUCCUCCCUCACUGCUCUAUGUGCGUCCCUCCCAAAUUGUGUGCUUGGUCAAAGAGGAUGACCAUCCCCAAUAGAGGAGGACCAUUCUUUGGUCACGGGCAUACAAGUAGUUGUGCUCCCCUGCUAAAACCACCAAACAAGCUCUCAAAAAGUUUCUAGAAUCCAAUGAAAAUGAAAAUACAACCUACCAGAAUCUGUGGGAUACAGCAAAUGCUGUACUAAGGGGAAAGUUUAUAGCCAUU